rnacentral:rRNA from 1 species
UACAGAGGGGGCAAGCGUUGUUCGGAAUUAUUGGGCGUAAAGGGUGCGUAGGCGGUUUGGUAAGUCUGAUGUGAAAUCUAUGGGCUCAACUCAUAGUCUGCAUCGGAAACUGCCGGGCUUGAGUGUGGGAGAGGUGAGUGGAAUUCCUGGUGUAGCGGUGAAAUGCGUAGAUAUCAGGAGGAACACCUGUGGCGAAAGCGGCUCACUGGACCAUAACUGACGCUGAUGCACGAAAGCUAGGGGAGCAAACAGG